GCCCUCGUGUUUUAGUGGUCAGCACGCUCGGCGCGUAUUCGAGAGGUCCGUGGUUCGAAUCCCGGCUAGGGCA
rnacentral:tRNA from 1 species